rnacentral:rRNA from 1 species
UACGUAGGGUGCAAGCGUUGUCCGGAAUUAUUGGGCGUAAAGAGCUUGUAGGCGGUUUGUCGCGUCUGCUGUGAAAUUUCGGGGCUCAACCCCGAGCUUGCAGUGGGUACGGGCAGACUAGAGUGUGGUAGGGGAGACUGGAAUUCCUGGUGUAGCGGUGAAAUGCGCAGAUAUCAGGAGGAACACCGGUGGCGAAGGCGGGUCUCUGGGCCGAUACUGACGCUGAGGAGCGAAAGCGUGGGGAGCGAACAGG